rnacentral:siRNA from 1 species
AGCCCCAAGUAGGGAGACCGCCUA